rnacentral:rRNA from 1 species
UACGUAGGGGGCAAGCGUUGUCCGGAUUUAUUGGGCGUAAAGAGCGUGUAGGCGGCCAGGCAGGUCCGUUGUGAAAACUCGAGGCUCAACCUCGAGACGUCGAUGGAAACCGUCUGGCUAGAGUCCGGAAGAGGAGAGCGGAAUUCCUGGUGUAGCGGUGAAAUGCGCAGAUAUCAGGAAGAACACCUAUGGCGAAGGCAGCUCUCUGGGACGGUACUGACUCUGAGACGCGAAAGCGUGGGGAGCGAACAGG